rnacentral:lncRNA from 1 species
GUGGAGUCAGCAUCACCAAACCUUCCUUUAUGUUAAAUCUUAAUAAUCAUAGUAUUGUUUCCUACUUUGAACUUAAAUCUAUAUAAAAUAAAUCAUCAGUGGCAUGAUUACACAGAAAAUAAAUUGCCGAUUACACAGAAACGUAUGGAGUUCAUAGAAUCGAUCACCAGAUGACAAGUCACCUAUACUAAUGCAUGCAUACAAUGUGACCAUCCAAGGUUCUUUAUACCAUUGAUUGAAGCAGCCACUGAUGGCAUCCAUGAGGAGGGAUCUGAGUGCUCAUGUACCUAAUCAGAAAGAGGAGAGUAAGUAGUACUGCUGCAUCCGAGUUUAAGCAACAGUACAGCUCGGCACGCACGAUUCUGUGUGUGUCGGGCAUGGAUGCUGCUCGCCGUUCAGCCUGAUGGAAUCGUUCCUCUUGUUGUUCGACCUGAUGGGAUCGUUCCUCUCACCUAGAUGUCACAAUGAAACUGCAUGUGUCAACGGACGAGGAGAAACAAACGACAUCGAGCGAAAACGCCAAGAUCACAAUGGGCUACCUCGUACCUUGUCAGGAUAUAUGCCGAUGAGAUGACGACGGAACCUCGUCGGCGUCGAUCACAUCGAGGGUGGACGAGAUACGCUGGCGUGGUGCUGGGAGGAGUUGAAAUGGCGGAGGUGGACCAGCGGCGGGAGGUGGCAAACACGGCGGCGAGGUGCUGCCGGAGGAAGGCGAGCGGCGGCCGAGGAGCCAAGGGG